rnacentral:lncRNA from 1 species
UAAAAGCUUCAUGACUUUAAUUAGUAACAUGCAACUCUUUUCCAGGAGCAGGGCGGUUGUAAAGUGGAAGUGACCGCGUUGAGAGUCACACACGGUCACGUCAGAAACCUUUGUUUCUAGAACCAACCAGAGCAGAGGAUGUGCAGCUGUAGUGUACUGUGCUGGCCCGUGGUGGGGGAGGUGCCGUGGAGUAUGUCAGCCGUGUUUGCUUUGUAGUCCUCAUUUCCAGUUGGACAGGGUGAGAGGAUGAGAAUAUUUUGGCUCAGUCAUUUCCUGUUUGAGGACAUGAACAGUUUCACUCUCUGAAACAGGGUGUAUACAGUUUCACUCAUGUGGAGAUUAUUUUCCACUCUGAGAACACAAGCGUGUGUUCUAUAGUGAGAAUCCCUUCCUUUUCCUUCUGCCUGGGUAGGACCCUGCUUGAGUCUUCAGUGACCGAGAGUACCUUGAGGAUGCACAAUGGCGCACCCCACACACCCGUGCCUCCACACUGCUGGCUACAUAGAAGGUGUUGGACCUAGAAAAUCCAUGGUGAGCCGAGUACAUGGUUUCCUAGAAUCAGGAGCGACACAAAUGUCUGACAAAAAGAAACCCUGCAGUGUUUAGUUGUAACGCUUCUGGAGCUGCAGCCACCUUCUGCUUUCUCUGAGAGCCUUUAGUUCUGUGACCUGUCUGCUUGGGACUCAUACCACUAAGAGAAGUUACUUGGGCCUGUUUCUGCAGUGUAGGAAAUCUGGGGGACAUAGUGAAAAUGUAUACCUAUAGCCUUUCCACAUAUACAGAAUUGACUUUUUAUCUAUUGGAAAGUCUGCAGCUUAGCUGUUGCCUUUGCCAUGGUGAUGUUUAAGACCAGUCACCAAAGACUUGAGUUGUUAACUCAUUUGGAAGAUGUUUUCUUUGGCAUGUGCAGGGGCCCUGGGUUCAGUCCUCCGGGGGAACAAUUAAGUCAUGAAAAGCUAAGUUUUGUAGUGAGCAGUGUUGUAAAGCCACGUGCAGGGACCGUGUCACUGAAGCUCUAAAUGAGGAAGCUCGUGCUGUCUCCUGAGCUCUGCCUCUGUGUUCUCAGUGCUCAGACUUUAGAGAGCAGUCUAAGCUUCUCAAACACAGUGAGAUGAUCUGAGUUGUAAGCACUAACUCAGAGCUUUUCUAGCACCACUUCUGUUAUCAAAGAUGGGGUCUGCUCUAGAGUCAGUGCUUCUGUUAACCAGCUUCCUUUACAGUUGGAGUUGGUGAGGACAGGGUAGUCACGGUGCUUCAUUGUGUAGCACGGUGUAGCGGCAGGAGUGUGGACUCUAGCUGGGUUCCACCCUGUAGAGCAGGGCUGCUGUCCCAAACCUGGGCUUGCUGCCAAGCUGCGGUGAAAUGCCCACACGGCAUUUAGCACAGAGUAAUUUAUGAACUGCAACUUAUCAGUUUAGUUACUAAUAAUGACAGUAAUUUAUGGCCACAGACAUGGACUUGACUUUUUUUUUUACAACUCCAAUUUCUAAAGCAAAAUAUUUCUCUACCAUUUGACAUGUUAGUAGUCCCCGUAGUAGCUCAAGAAGAAAAAGAACACUUUAUGGUAGAAUGUGUUAACCAUUUCAUAAACAGUAUUGUUUAUAAAGAGGUACCUCUCUACUGUGUUGAAGUAUUUAAAAAGACCUUCUGGAACUUCAGUGAAUAAGCUUUUUCAUAGAGGAUCCAGACAGCUGUGACACACCACACUCUUAACAACUGAUACAAGAAUCUUCAAAUUACAACCUGUGUAUCCGGGAUGGUUCCCCUACCCUGGGGCGGUGCUCUCUGCAGUCUUCAAAGUACUUGAGAAAAGUAUUACAGACUAGGUAGGAGUGUAUGUUCCAGAAGAAGAAGCUGCUUUGGCAUGUUGGUAGCCUGUCUGGAGGUCAGGAAGCCCUGGGAUAGUGUCCAGUACCUAGAACAGGACCUGGUACGCAGGGUUGCUGGUUGUCCUCGCUGACUAAAGUGCGACUAGUGAGCCACAGAGCUUGACCGAGGCUCUCCUACAAAAAAGUGGGAACCUACCCCAGGGCUUCAAGACAAGAGCAGGAUACUUACAUUUAUCGAGUCACCUGCCGGUGCUUUCCCAAGUACUUUGUGUGCUGACCACAUGCAGUCCUCACAGCAGCCUUAGGAUGGGGGAUGGUCCUUCUCCUGGAAGCCAGGCUUGAGCAGUUACCUCAGCAAUCAAAAGCGUGCCCUGAGGAGGUGACAGAGCCUAGACAGCCCAGGCAGUGCCCCACUGCCUGCUCUGUUGUCUCUCAGACAUUCUAGCUCACAUAGUUCAGACGUUUAUGCAGUGACUUAUCAGUCCAGAGGAUUCCAGGAACCCUGAGAAUGAUUGUGAAAUUCAUCUCAACUCAUUACAGCCAUUUGACUUACAUGACUUCUCCUAGAUGCUUAUCAUCUGGGCCUCGGAAUGGCAUAUAUAAUCAUUGGUUCCCAGAGGAUUGUCUGUGCCCUUAAUUUCAGGGACUGUCCAGUUUUUUCUUGGCAGGAAUAUGUGUAAACACCCCAGUCAGCUCAACGGGACUGUCCUGAAGAACAUGUUAUAAAGAGCACGGCUGGUGCAGGCCCCGAGGAGGCUGCCCAUACCUGACACAGUGCUUCGUGAGCCAGUGCCGAGUGGCAGAGCACAGUCUUCUGCCUUCCUUCGUCCCCAGUGGCUGUGUGCAGGCAUCCUAGUGACUCAGGUGUUGUUCCUGAAGUCAGUGUGGCAGUGUGAGACAAAAUGCUGUACCUAGGCCGUGGUGGUUUUUAGAAGCAUCCCAGUGCAGUGUCCAUCUGUUGUGAAGGAGUGUGGUCGUGAAGCAGCACUGCGGUCCACUGAGGAGCACAAAAGCCUGGGUCAGAAAUGCCAUCUGAACCUGACAGCAUGACAGCAUCACAUACUUAAUGUGGACCUCAGUGCUAAUCACCAAGAUUGCUUUUCCACCUGUGAAGAAUUAGCACUCACCCGAGUCACUCUUCCACCCUGGCUUAAUUCAGUUUGCUUUUCUCCAGUUUGUUUGCAAUAGGGUAACAGACAGAGUGAUCGUAAACGUUAGAGGCUUGGUAAUCAAGCCAUGUGGCAUUCUGUGGCUAAUCAACCUUGUCACCUGCUUGUGCUGACUUGUGUAGACUGGUGCCUCAGGUCUCGGGUGGCUACUGUGAGCACACAGGCUGGGCCGAGUAGGACACAGCCCUGCCUGCCAGCUCUCCUAGGUUAGCUUUUGCCAUAGUGAGGGGCUUGGUUUAAUCAUUGUCAGGGUUAGAGUUGAAAAGCUAAAACCCUGGUUGCUUGUGGAAUGUGCGGCCGGGUGUAGUUACUCAUUGUCUGCUGUGUCCUUUCCUCCCCUUGUGUGUCACUCCUGUGUGUGUGGACACAGCUUUCCGCAGCCUCCUGACCCACAGGAGAGUACUUUCCAAUACACUCCUCCCUGUGCCCAUCUCAGCCUGGGGUUAGAAAUGAACACUGAACCAACAGACUACACUCCUGUGUCUGGCCUGGCUCAGAAGUGGGUGUGACCAAAACGGCUGUUAAGUAUGGUGCUCACAGGUGGCUUCGUCUCAGCUUUCCUCACGAGAUAACAACAGGGAUGUGAAGAUCCACCCUGAGAUAUGGACAUUCUAAGGAGAGGUUUACCUCUCGGUACCUAGUUUCAUGAGAGAAUAUGUUGAGAUAAGUAAGAUAUAACAAUCAAUACAUCACACCAAUGGGGGUGAAAAUGCGUAAGUUCCUAACGUAGCCAUUCAGGUAUCUUCUAUUUUAAAGACUGCUUGUCUCUAUUUUUACUUCCACUAGAAACAUAAGGUAGUCUUGUUUGCGCAGAGUUGGAAUUUACUGUUGGCGCCUGCCUGUGAUGUCAUCAUUGAAAGCUACCUGCAGACAUGAGCCAGAGCCCCGCCCCACUCAGCACCAUGGCAGAAACAGCUGCAGCUCCUGCAGAGCCCUGGCUGAGGAGCUGGGGUCCUCGGGAACUACAGAUGGGGAGCUCGCUGCAGUGGUUGUUUUUCUAAAAUCCCUAGUAAUCUCUCAGUUUUCUAUAGCAAGGAACAGGACCUGUGUGAAGUAAGGCUUCCUCGUUGUAUGCAGGCUGAUAGAGCUCUAGGUCCUCUGUAGGAGACACGGUUACUGUCAUUACUCGUGUCCGUCUGUCUGUCACUCCUUCAGGGUGUGCCCUAUAAAAUCAUGUUAGGGACUCUUCCCAUCUUGUGUGGUAAAUCAUGUAAUUUAAUCUGUGAGUCUAAGGUGAUCCGCCAUGACGACUUUGUGCCUGAACAGUGCCGUGAAAAUCCAGUAUAAGAGUUAGUCCUGAAAGGACUUACUAGCGAUGCAUUCUAGAGUGUUUGUAGAUGGAGUAAUAUAUUUUUAUGCAGUGUAUUUUACACUUAUUUCCAGACCAAACUCUGGAGUGGCUUCUUUUUCAAGUGCAUGACCGGGGGAUAAGACCUGUGGGCUUCGCAUCUCAGGAGGAGUGUGGAGCGGAGGGUCUGGGAAACGCGAGUGUCCACUGUACUUGCAAAUCUAAAGCUCUCCCAAGGCUUUGUACACUCUUUUUCAUGAAAUAGAUUAAAUAUUUUUCUCCAAA